rnacentral:rRNA from 1 species
UUGCUCUCUGAUUCAGCGGCGGACGGGUGAGUAAUGCCUAGAAUCUGCCUGGUAGUGGGGGACAACGUUUCGAAAGGAACGCUAAUACCGCAUACGUCCUACGGGAGAAAGCAGGGGACCUUCGGGCCUUGCGCUAUCAGAUGAGCCUAGGUCGGAUUAGCUAGUUGGUGAGGUAAUGGCUCACCAAGGCGACGAUCCGUAACUGGUCUGAGAGGAUGAUCAGUCACACUGGAACUGAGACACGGUCCAGACUCCUACGGGAGGCAGCAGUGGGGAAUAUUGGACAAUGGGCGAAAGCCUGAUCCAGCCAUGCCGCGUGUGUGAAGAAGGUCUUCGGAUUGUAAAGCACUUUAAGUUGGGAGGAAGGGUUGUAGAUUAAUACUCUGCAAUUUUGACGUUACCGACAGAAUAAGCACCGGCUAACUCUGUGCCAGCAGCCGCGGUAAUACAGAGGGUGCAAGCGUUAAUCGGAAUUACUGGGCGUAAAGCGCGCGUAAGUGGUUUGUUAAGUUGGAUGUGAAAGCCCCGGGCUCAACUGGGAACUGCAUUCAAACUGACAGCUAGAGUAUGGUAGAGGGUGGUGGAAUUUCUGUGUAGCGUGAA